rnacentral:rRNA from 1 species
UACGAAGGGGGCUAGCGUUGUUCGGAACUACUGGGCGUAAAGCGCGUGUAGGCGGGUCUUUAAGUCAGGGGUGAAAUGCCAGGGCUCAACCUUGGAACUGCCUUUGAUACUGGAGACCUUGAGUCCGGGAGAGGUGAGUGGAAUUGCGAGUGUAGAGGUGAAAUUCGUAGAUAUUCGCAAGAACACCAGUGGCGAAGGCGGCUCACUGGCCCGGAACUGACGCUGAGACGCGAAAGCGUGGGGAGCAAACAGG